CUCUUUAUCAUAAUAUUGCAAAUAAUUAAAGAUUAAAAUUCGACUGUUCACCGUUGCUGGAAAGAUUUAGAAACUUGCAAAAAAUGCGUCUUUUCUGGUCAAAGGUUCGCUUGAUAAUAUGGAAAAACUUUAUUAUAAGAAGAAGAUCAUUGUUUCGUAACAUAGUUGAAAUUUUAUGGCCUCUUACAAUUUUUUUGAUACUACUCGUUACUCGCAUAGCAAAUCCUGAGGUGUUUGAGCCAAGUGACGU
rnacentral:lncRNA from 1 species